UGGUUCAACAUGGAUGAAUCUAACUCACUGUAUGUCUCUGCGCGAUUUUAUAGAGUAUAAGAUAUUGGUAGUUAUUAAGUGAUUUUGUUUUGUUUAGGUAUGGUUUAUUGUUCUUUAAAUUUACAGAGAUGAAAUUGAUAAACCCUAAUCCCUAAUUUUUCAUUGUUUUCAAUGUCUCCGCUUCCUUUCUGAUUUAUGUUUUCAGAUGGCAGUGAACUAAGCAUGGAGCAAUCCACCAUAAAAGGCUAGAAAGAUGUUUAAUGUUGGAUCUGUUUAUUUCAUUUCAUCAUUCUUUUACAAAACUACUGACCUGCCAAUUUUUUUAGUUAUUAGAAUUUUGGUCUUCAGUUAAUUGUCCACUAUGGAUUUACUUUUCGUAUGAAGGUAAGUAUCAAUAAAUGCUGAUUAAAAACGUACAUCAGAGGCUUUGGAGAGAAGAAAAUAAAAGAUUCUUGAUGCUUCCAGCAAUGAACCAUGGGGUCCUCAUGGAACACUUCUUGCAGACAUUGCUCAGGCAACCAGAAACCCAUAAGCUUUGGCCUCUCAAUUUUAUGCUAGCGUGCGCACAAAAAUAUGAAGAAUAUCGACCUUCCCAUCACUGAUUCACACUUUUCCCAUUCCCUAACUUUCGAACCGGAUAUCUCUUUGAUCUCCGAUCAGCCUGAUUCCGACAAGUCAUUUUACGGUCUGAACCUCCGU